rnacentral:rRNA from 1 species
AUUGAACGCUGGCGGCAUGCCUUACACAUGCAAGUCGAACGGCAGCACGGGAGCAAUCCUGGUGGCGAGUGGCGAACGGGUGAGUAAAGUAUCGGAACGUGCCCAGUCGUGGGGGAUAACGUAGCGAAAGUUACGCUAAUACCGCAUACGAUCUAUGGAUGAAAGCGGGGGAUCGCAAGACCUCGCGCGAUUGGAGCGGCCGAUAUCAGAUUAGGUAGUUGGUGGGGUAAAGGCUCACCAAGCCGACGAUCUGUAGCUGGUCUGAGAGGACGACCAGCCACACUGGGACUGAGACACGGCCCAGACUCCUACGGGAGGCAGCAGUGGGGAAUUUUGGACAAUGGGCGCAAGCCUGAUCCAGCCAUGCCGCGUGCAGGAUGAAGGCCUUCGGGUUGUAAACUGCUUUUGUACGGAACGAAAAGGUUUGACUUAAUACGUUGGACUCAUGACGGUACCGUAAGAAUAAGCACCGGCUAACUACGUGCCAGCCGCCGCUGUAA